CCUACGGGAGGCAGCAGUGAGGAAUAUUGGUCAAUGGGAGGAAUCCUGAACCAGCCAUGCCGCGUGCAGGACGACGGCUCUACGAGUUGUAAACUGCUUUUGUACCGGGGUAGAAUGUCUUACGUGUAGGGUUUUGAAAGUACGGUACGAAUAAGGAUCGGCUAACUCCGUGCCAGCAGCCGCGGUAAUACGGAGGAGCCGAGCGUUAUCCGGAAUCAUUUGGUUUAAAGGGUACGUAGGUUGUUUUAUAAGUUAGCGGUGAAAUACCGAUGCUCAACAUCGGGGCUGCAGCUAAUACUGUAGGACUAGAGAUCGGAUGCAGCAGGCGGAAUGUGUAGUGUAGCGGUGAAAUGCGUAGAGAUUACACAGAACACCGAUUGCGAAGGCAGCCUGCUGGACCGGAUCUGACACUGAGGCACGAAAGCGUGGGGAUCGAACAGGAUUAGAUACCCUUGUAGUC
rnacentral:rRNA from 1 species